rnacentral:rRNA from 1 species
CGGACGGGUGAGUAAUGUCUGGGAAACUGCCCGAUGGAGGGGGAUAACUACUGGAAACGGUAGCUAAUACCGCAUAACGUCGCAAGACCAAAGAGGGGGACCUUCGGGCCUCUUGCCAUCGGAUGUGCCCAGAUGGGAUUAGCUAGUAGGUGGGGUAACGGCUCACCUAGGCGACGAUCCCUAGCUGGUCUGAGAGGAUGCCAGCCACACUGGAACUGAGACACGGUCCAG